rnacentral:rRNA from 1 species
UGAUCCUGGCUCAGAUUGAACGCUGGCGGUAGGCUUAACACAUGCAAGUCGUGCGAGAAAGUAUCUUCGGAUAUGAGUAGAGCGGCGGACGGGUGAGUAACGCGUAGGAAUCUACCUAGUAGAAGGGGAUAGCCCGAGGAAACUCGGAUUAAUACCGUAUACCUCCUUCGGGAGAAAGAAGGCCUCUCAUUGAAGCUUUCGCUACUAGAUGAGCCUGCGUAAGAUUAGCUUGUUGGUGAGGUAAAGGCUCACCAAGGCAACGAUCUUUAGCGGGUCUGAGAGGACGAUCCGCCACAUUGGGACUGAGACACGGCCCAGACUCCUACGGGAGGCAGCAGUGGGGAAUAUUGGACAAUGGGCGCAAGCCUGAUCCAGCCAUACCGCGUGUGUGAAGAAGGCCCUAGGGUUGUAAAGCACUUUAAGUUGGGAAGAAAAGUUAUUGGCUAAUACCCAAUGACCGUGACAUUACCUUCAGAAUAAGGACCGGCUAAUUCCGUGCCAGCAGCCGCGGUAAUACGGAAGGUCCAAGCGUUAAUCGGAAUUACUGGGCGUAAAGCGCGCGUAGGUGGUUUAUUAAGUUGGAUGUGAAAUCCCCGGGCUCAACCUGGGAACUGCAUCCAAAACUGAUUCACUAGAGUACGAUAGAGGGAGGUAGAAUUCACAGUGUAGCGGUGGAAUGCGUAGAUAUUGUGAAGAAUACCAAUGGCGAAGGCAGCCUCCUGGAUCUGUACUGACACUGAGGUGCGAAAGCGUGGGUAGCGAACAGGAUUAGAUACCCUGGUAGU